CAAACUUUAGUAAGGAGAAACACAUGGCAGGUAAACACACCAGGCAGCAUUACGAGUGGUGAAAUACAGAAAUAAAUACCUCUACCCGUGUGUAUUAUAACCGAAACACUAGUGCUAAACAGGGAUUAGAGACCCCUUUAUACAAGUGCUCGAUUUACCCUGCGGAGCACUAAAACUAUCAGAGUUAAAACUCAAACAACAUGGCGGUAACUUCAAUUUAGGGGAACUUACCAUGUAAAUGAUAACCACCAAGGUCAAAUAACUAUCAAGAAUUCUUGUAUGCCGUCGUCGUCAGGUGGCACUUAAUGUUCUACCGAAAUGUCAUCUAAAAAAAGACAGAUCAAGGUGCAGACAAUUUGAUAGUAUCGGCGAGUUACAAUUUUGAUUAUUAACAGAUAGAUUAUGUAAUUACCAAUUGAAGGCGGACUUAAUAGUAAUAAGACCAAACAUAAGCUUAUGAA
rnacentral:rRNA from 1 species